GUGAAAUGCAAAUUCUGAUUCAGUAGGUGAAGAGGGAGAAUUCUGAGAUUCUAGGCAUCCAAUUAGUUACCAGAUGGUGCCUAUGCUGUUGGUCUACAGGCUGUAUUUUAUAUAGCAGGGUUUGGUACAAUCUUUCUCAACCAGACCUGGAAGAGAAGUUGUAACAUGGCUGCUGCUCUGCAAGCUCACAUCCACUAUCCAGGCUGAAGCCAGAAGAAGUGGGAAGAGAAAAACCAAAGGACAGUGCCCUCUGUAAACCACUUUUAAAAAACGUUUCUCAGCAGGUUUCGUGGGUGGGAACAUUUUUUUGCCAGGUCAACGAACCCAAAUUUCUACAUUCAAAG
rnacentral:lncRNA from 10 species